GAUGAACGCUGGCGGCGUGCCUAAUACAUGCAAGUCGAGCGAACGGACGAGAAGCUUGCUUCUCUGAUGUUAGCGGCGGACGGGUGAGUAACACGUGGAUAACCUACCUAUAAGACUGGGAUAACUUCGGGAAACCGGAGCUAAUACCGGAUAAUAUUUUGAACCGCAUGGUUCAAAAGUGAAAGACGGUCUUGCUGUCACUUAUAGAUGGAUCCGCGCUGCAUUAGCUAGUUGGUAAGGUAACGGCUCACCAAGGCAACGAUGCAUAGCCGACCUGAGAGAGUGAUCGGCCACACUGGAACUGAGACACGGUCCAGACUCCUACGGAAGGCAGCAGUAGGGAAUCUUCCGCAAUGGGCGAAAGCCUGACGGAGCAACGCCGCGUGAGUGAUGAAGGUCUUCGGAUCGUAAAACUCUGUUAUUAGGGAAGAACAUAUGUGUAAGUAACUGUGCACAUCUUGACGGUACCUAAUCAGAAAGCCACGGCUAACUACGUG
rnacentral:rRNA from 1 species